rnacentral:misc_RNA from 1 species
UACGUAGGGGGCAAGCGUUGUCCGGAAUUAUUGGGCGUAAAGAGCUCGUAGGCGGUCCGUUAAGUCGGAUGUGAAAUCUCAGGGCUCAACCCUGAAACCGCAUCCGAUACUGGCGGACUUGAGGCAGGUAGGGGAGCGUGGAAUUCCUGGUGUAGCGGUGAAAUGCGCAGAUAUCAGGAGGAACACCGGCGGCGAAGGCGGCGCUCUGGGCCUGUUCUGACGCUGAGGAGCGAAAGCGUGGGGAGCAAACAGG